UCUCUAGCUGAUGAUUCUUCGACAUCACUGGCAUCGGCUGUUACACGUCCGCAUGCGAUUUCUUCCCGGAAUCUUUUGCAUAGUUAGGACCCUUAGGACAUUUGAGGUCUCACGGAGUCGGUAUCCGCAUGGACUCGCCGAAUGGAACCGGUACCAAAAUCUCGUCGCAUCAUAUGGACAAGCAUCUCUUUACCUUCGAUAGCGAGUGCGCGUCUACGUCUGAUGAUUUUUAAUUUGGAAUUUUAUUAUAAUUCACGUGAGGCGAAUUAAUAAUAACAUAUGAAUAAGUCAUUAUGUCUUCAUGUCCAGUAUUUCUUGGUGUAAUUGCAAAAAUAUUGUAACAUGGUGAUGAAAAAACAUCUUGUGAUUUACAUAUUAGUUUCGAUUAUGACAAUGAAUAUUUUAAUGAAUAAAUUGUUGAUAUUGUA
rnacentral:lncRNA from 1 species